rnacentral:rRNA from 1 species
ACUCCUACGGGAGGCAGCAGUGGGGAAUAUUGCACAAUGGGGGAAACCCUGAUGCAGCCAUGCCGCGUGUGUGAAGAAGGCCUUCGGUUGUAAAGCACUUUCAGUAGGGAGGAAGGUAGUGUAGUUAACACCUGCAUUAUUUUGACGUUACCUACAGAAGAAGCACCGGCUAACUCCGUGCCAGCAGCCGCGGUAAUACGGAGGGUGCGAGCGUUAAUCGGAAUUACUGGGCGUAAAGCGCAUGCAGGCGGCCUGUUAAGUCAGAUGUGAAAGCCCGGGGCUUAACCUCGGAAUUGCAUUUGAAAACUGGCAGGCUAGAGUCUUGUAGAGGGGGUAGGAAUUUCAGGUGUAGCGGUGAAAUGCGUAGAGAUCUGAAGGAAUACCAGUGGCGAAGGCGGCCCCUGGACCAAAGACUGACGCUCAGAUGCGAAAGCGUGGGGAGC